CACCAGUGCUAGAAGUCCUGACUACAUUCUAUCACCAUCUGCACAAUGUGCAAUCCAAAGGGAUUAAGAGACUCAAGCCCUUCCUUUUCUCACUCCCCAAGAGUAAAACAGACCUUGGGUGUUCCUGAAGAUAGUUCCUUGUCUCGAGCUCAGUGAGGAGUGACUGGUUCAGAGUGCCCUGGACGUUAGCGGGUUGGUUGUGCCCACCUGACCACACAGGACCGCUCUGCGGUCUUCCGCAUAAACACAUCACGUGUUUGACAGGCGCACCGCUACCCGCAGCAGAAAGAACACUCCCUUUAAAGACACAUGGAUCCAAAUUCAAGCAUUACCAAUUCAUGCUCAUGUAACCUUGAAUGAGUUAUUUACCUUUCUGAGUUUCUCUUUCUCACUUUUCUAAAAUGAAUAGACUAUUACCAACUUACAAAGGAAACUGUUUCCUUAUUAAGGCAAAAUCUAAGACACCCACAGCAAUGGAAGAAGAAACUUGGUGGUAAGGCGGGUGGGGAACCAAGCUGCCCUACAUUUCCCCCAGUUUCAUCUUUUUGUGAGACUGUCUCAAUUUUACUACCUCUGCUAGCAGCUGGAACCUUAUCAGAGGUACAUUCAUUAGCCGUAGUUGAAUCAGAAAAUACGCAUUGUGCAAACUAGGCUUUUGCUGUGCUUUUUGUCUUUUCUGGAUUCAUGUCCUUUUUAUUUCUUUCCUUAUUAUUUAGCAAAGUCUCUUUAAAUCAGAAACCUAGAAAACACAAAGUUUCAGUUAUGUCAAUGUAUCUAGUUUGGGAUUUCUGGAUAUCUAAAGGAGUAUAGCUGAAGACAGAGAAUAAACAUUGUACUCAGGGCAGCAAAGCUCAGGAGUGAUACCUAAGAAACUUUAGGGGAUGAGUAAUUGGUUAGGUAUAAUUCUCUACUAGGAAGAAUAACAAAGUGGUUGUCACAAGACUGAAUAUGACAAUAGCUCUAAAAGUGUUUAGUACAGUAAUAUGGCACAUUCUUCUGAAGUAUUUUGACAAGUAGAAAUGCAAAGCUAAACUUAGAUUAUGUUUUUAAACAUUUUUAUAAAAAGCUUACCAAAGUUCUACUAGAAAGGGGAAAGUGAGAUGAUCAUCUUUAAAAAUUAUAUUCACUAAUUCCACUCAUCCAGCUUAAAAUACAUCAUCCAAUAUAAUCAUGUAACUUUUUAAUGAAAUCUGUGGUAGGGAUAAUUACCCCUGUGUUACCAGAGGCAAAGAGACAUUAUGUGCUCAUUUCCAAAUCAAGAGUGGAGAUUAAAUUGGGACUGAAAAUUCUUGGCUCCUAUAGACAAUCAAUGCUCAAUAAAACUUGUUGAAUGCA